CCCUUAGAUGUUCUGGGCCGCACGCGCGCUACACUGACGAUGGCAACGAGUUUUUCCUUCGCCGAAAGGUGUGGGUAAUCUUUUGAAACAUCGUCGUGCUGGGGAUAGAUCAUUGCAAUUUUUGAUCUUGAACGAGGAAUUCCUAGUAAGCGCGAGUCAUCAGCUCGCGUUGAUUACGUCCCUGCCCUUUGUACACACCGCCCGUCGCUACUACCGAUUGAAUGGUUUAGUGAGGACUCCUGAUUGGCGCCGCCGCCCCGGCAACGGAGCAGCGGACUGCCGAAAAGUUGUUCAAACUUGAUCAUUUAGAGGAAGUAAAAGGCGUAACA
rnacentral:rRNA from 1 species